rnacentral:rRNA from 1 species
AUCUUUUAUCUUUUAAAAGACCUAGUAAUAGGUAUGCUUUAGGAGGGGCUUGCGCCAUAUUAGUUAGUUGGUAGGGUAAUGGCCUACCAAGACGAUGAUGUGUAGCUGGACUGAGAGGUUGAACAGCCACAUUGGGACUGAGACACGGCCCAAACUCCUACGGGAGGCAGCAGUAGGGAAUUUUCGGCCAAUGGGAGGAAACUCUGACCGAGCAACGCCGCGUGAAUGACGAAGUACUUCGGUAUGUAAAGUUCUUUUAUCAAGGAAGAAAAGCAAAUGGCGAACCAUUUGUUUGCCGGUACUUGAUGAAUAAGCCCCGGCUAAUUAUGUGCCAGCAGCCGCGGUAAGACAUAAGGGGCAAGUGUUAUCCGGAAUUAUUGGGCGUAAAGGGUGCGUAGGCGGUCUAGUAAGUCAGUGGUGUAAUGGCAACGCUUAACGUUGUCCGGCUAUUGAAACUGCUAAACUUGAGUUAGAUAGAGGCGAGUGGAAUUCCAUGUGUAGCGGUAAAAUGCGUAAAUAUAUGGAGGAACACCAGAGGCGUAGGCGGCUCGCUGGGUCUUAACUGACGCUGAGGCACGAAAGCGUGGGGAGCAAACAGGAUUAGAUACCCUGGUAGUCCACGCCGUAAACGAUGAGUACUAAGUGUCGGGUUAAACCGGUACUGAAGUUAACACAUUAAGUACUCCGCCUGAGUAGUACGUACGCAAGUAUGAAACUUAAAGGAAUUGACGGGACUCCGCACAAGCGGUGGAUCAUGUUGUUUAAUUCGAAGAUACCCGAAAAACCUUACCAGGUCUUGACAUGUUUUUGCAAAAUGAUAGUAAUAUCGUGGAGGUUACCAGAAACACAGGUGGUGCAUGGUUGUCGUCAGCUCGUGUCGUGAGAUGUUAGGUUAAGUCCUAAAACGAGCGAAACCCUUAUCGUUAGUUGCCAGCACGUUAUGGUGGGGACUUUAACGAGACUGCCAAUGAUAAAUUGGAGGAAGGUGAGGAUCACGUCAAAUCAGCAUGCCCCUUAUGACCUGGGCUACAAACGUGAUACAAUGGCUGUUACAAAGAGUUAGCUGAAACGCAAGUUCUUGGCCAAUCCCCAAAAACAGUCCCAGUCCGGAUUGAAGUCUGCAACUCGACUUCAUGAAGUU